rnacentral:misc_RNA from 1 species
GAUGAAGAACGCAGCGAAAUGCGAUACGUAAUGUGAAUUGCAGAAUUCAGUGAAUCAUCGAAUCUUUGAACGCAUAUUGCGCUCUUUGGUAUUCCGAAGAGCAUGCUUGUUUGAGUAUCAGUAAACACCUCAAAACUUUUGAUUUUUUUUUAAAAAAAAAAGGUGUUGGACUUGAGCAAUCCCAACACCAAUCUUUUUUAGAUCGGUGGCGGGUUGCUUGAAAUGCAGGUGCAGCUGGACAUUCUCCUGAGCUAAAAGCAUAUUUAUUUAGUCCCGUCAAACGGAUUAUUACUUUUGCUGCAGCUAAUAUAAAGGGAGUUUGACCGUAUUGGCUGACUGAUGCAGGAUUUCACAAGGGUCGGCAACGAUUCUUGUAAAACUCGAUCUCAAAUCAAGUAAGACUACCCGCUGAACUUAAGCAUAUCAAUAAGCGGAGGA